CGCCUAUUGAAUAUAUAAUAGGUCCAUCCUGCCCAGUGAACACGAUUUCAACGGCCGCGGUAUCCUGACCGUGCAAAGGUAGCAUAAUCAUUUGCCUUUUAAUUGAAGGCUAGUAUGAAAGGACACACAAGAAUAAAGCUGUCUCAUUUGGGUUUACUUAAAACUGAUCUUUAGGUGAAGAAGCCUAAAUUACAAUAAAGGACAAGAAGACCCUAUAGAGCUUUAUUAACAGAAGUUAUUAUACCCCCCUGUUAAUUUGGUUGGGACAACCAAAAGACAUUUAUACCUCUUUUACACACUAUAAAACCCUUACCCAUGACUGAACUAGAAUUUCAAGCUACCUUAGGGAUAACAGGCUAAUCCCACUAGAGAGACCACAUUGACAGUGGGGAUUGGCACCUCGAUGUUGGCUUAGUGUAACCAUUAGGCGCAGCAGCUUAAUUGAGUUGGUUUGUUCAACCAUUAAAUCACU
rnacentral:rRNA from 1 species